GUUGUCUCGGUAUUUUCUUGCCUGCUAGCAUGCUAGCUGGCCCGGUUAGCUGCUGUCAGAUUUUUCUUUUGGCACCGCCCAUACUGGGUGGUAAUCAGUCUGUACAUCCCCGAGGAAGGAGUUGCCACUUGGUAAUGGACGCCAGCAAAGGUAAAGGGGAUCAAGGGGUGCAAAAUCCAGGUGGGCAAAUGGACAGACCUGUCAGCUUCCACUUCUUGGAAAGCAUGCUUCCCAAAGUAGUGAAGAGGCGAGUGCAUGCCUUGAAAAGGCUACAGGUGCAGUGUGCCAGCAUAGAGGCUAAGUUCUAUGAGGAAGUCCAUGAGCUCGAGAGGAAGUACGCUGCUCUCUACCAGCCACUGUUUGACAAGAGACGAGAUAUUAUCAAAGGAACAGUGGAACCCACAGACGAGGAGUGUGAGUGGCACAGUGACAGAGAGGAAGAAGAAGAGCUAGCUGAGGAAGUGAAGGAAAAAGCUGCUAUUGAGGAUGCAAAGAAAGAGGAAGCCAAGCCAGAAGAAGACCCAAAAGGCAUUCCCGAGUUCUGGCUCACCAUAUUCAAGAGUGUGGACAUGCUCAGUGACAUGCUACAGGAGCAUGACGAGCCCAUCCUCAAGCACCUGAAAGAUAUUCAAGUCAAGUUUUCUGAGCCAGGACAGCCAAUGAGUUUCACAUUAGAGUUUCACUUUGAGUCCAAUGGCUACUUCAACAAUGCAGUCCUCACUAAAGUCUACAAGAUGAAAUCAGAGCCUGAUGCUUCAGAACCUUUCUCGUUUGAGGGGCCAGAGAUCAUUGAUUGUGAAGGCUGUCAGAUAGAUUGGCAUAAGGGGAAGGAUGUGACAGUGAAAACUAUUAAGAAGAAGCAGAAGCAUAAAGGCCGUGGCACUGUCCGCACAGUUACGAAGCAGGUCCCCAACGACUCUUUCUUCAACUUCUUUAAUCCUGUUAAAGUUUCACCAGAUGGAGAAAUGGAUGAAGACUCUGAGUUCACUCUAGCCACAGACUUUGAGAUUGGUCACUUCUUCCGCGAGAGAAUAAUUCCCAGAGCAGUGCUGUAUUUCACCGGAGAGGCCCUGGAAGAUGACGAGAGCUUUGAAGAGGAGGAGCUGGAAGAAGGAGAUGAAGAGGAGCAGGACGAGGAAGGUGAUGAUGACGAUGAUGAUGAGGGAGACUUUGACUCCAAGGUAAGGGAGAAAUAAGGACGGCGUCCCACAUUCAUUGUACACUGUCUCCAUCCGUUGGCUGUGGUUAAUUUUUUUCUGGCUGCCUCUCCUUUUCUCUACACCCUUGAUUCUCCAGUAGUCCCAGGUUUCUAACAUUGUUCCCUUCGCUGUACCAAAGCAGAAAGAACAGCCCCAGCCGGCCGAAUGCAAACCGCAGUAACCACAGUGAUCAUGGGAGGCGGAGACCUGCUGCCAGUCAAUUUAGUUCUUAUCCAAUCAGCAAGUCCUCCUACUCUUACAGGCUCAGCCCUUUUUAUGAACUCUCACCUGAACGCAAUAAAACGCAACCCAUAUUGCGUUUUUACUCUGUGCAUGACUUCUUUUUCUUUUGUCUUGCGCCCAUCUCACCCCUUUUCAUUUGGCUUCAUUCAAACUCAAAGCAGGAAGUGACUUGACUCUAACUGAAAUGCCCACGGUAUCGCACAGAGACGGGCUUCUUCUUCUUUGGUAAGGUGGAGUAAGUUACUACUGCCAAAAAAAACUCAGAACAUCAUCUGUUUAAAAAAAAAUAAAAGUUAGGAGAGGAAUGGAUCCCAACUUUAAGCUUAAAGGAAAUAAAUCAGUUACUCAGGGUUUUUUAAUGCCAACAAGAGAAGUGAUAGCUAACCAGGAAACUGCUGAACAAGGUUGACUUAAUCUUUCACUGGGGUUGCUGAAGUGUUUUGUUUUGUUUUUGUUUUUUGUUAUGGUGUUGUUUUUUUUAAGAGACAUGAAAUGUAUCAUUUUGAAUUUAAUUUACAUGUUUUAAAUGUUCAUUGUCAUGUCAUUGGACUAUUUAUUCUGGUGUCAUGCAGCUGUACGAAGUGGUGUAUUUUGGGGUCUCUAAGACGCAGCCUUUUCAUCGGCUUAAACGUUAUUUGGGCUCAGCGGGUCAACGAAACGUGAAUACUGCCUAGUACAUGUUUUUGUUUUUCAAUGAUCAAAAUACAUUUUGAAACGUCGAGGAGCUGUGUUCUCCAUUAAUACCGCUCACUUCUGCCCAGGUGUCCUGGGUUUAACAAGCAUUUAAACUGAGCACUUGAGUGGACACUGUAACACACUUAAUCAAUAUCAGACGGUUGUGUGUGGUUAUACCUCAGAUAUAACCUCAUAGAAAUCUUCCUUGUUUGCCUCAAAUGCUCUUUUAACUUGGCUAACAAACUUACACAGAUUUUAUGAAAUGAAGACGAGGACGAGAAACGUGUAGUUUGAUAAAUAUUUUAAUCCUAAGCAGUCACAGUGGUGGACACUCAACCUUUUCUCGGUUUAUAAAAUGCAGUGGUUUCCAAAAGUCUUGAGAUUACUCCCCCAGUAGGAAGGUGGUCUCCCACUAUGUGUAUUAACAAAUUUAAUUUAGAGUCAGUGAUGGGACGGGUUGCAGGAUGUCCGGAUUAAAUGUACAUUUUGUUGCCAAGAAGCCAAAAAUGAAAGACGAAACACCUCUUUUAUUAAAUUGUUUGCCAAUUGUCAUUAACACAGUGUAAUCAGCGUUUAAAGUUGUUUCAGAAAAUAUAAAUAUUUCUCAUACUGUCUGAUGAUUCAGUAGAAUGUCUGUGCAAAACGAAAUAGCAGAGGUUGCCAAUGUAUUUUAUAUACCUGCUCCUGGAUUUUGGCCGUUUCGUCGGACCCCUCUGCCUGGUGGCUGGUCAUCGAUAGCAGGAACAGCGAAAUAAUAUCUACCCCCUCUCUCUCUCUUUGUACAAAGAACGAUUGUAGAUCUUGUUGGACAGAUCUCUCAGCCACGGUUGACAACUUCAAAUCUACCACAUCGGACCGCGUAUGGCGUUGCAUUUGUGUCUCUUUCCUGAGUGAUCAACUUCAGCAACGGAGCGCUUGCAUUUCAUUUAGAAUAGAAAUGAAAUGCAAGCCAAAAAAUAAUUUCGUUUGAGCGAGUAAAGAUCUAUUCUGUGCUCAGUAAAUGUAUUUGCAUGUUUAACGUUAUCCAUAUUAACGUGCAAUAAUAACCCCUAUCAUGCAGUUUUAUUCAAAUACACGGAAACUCUGGCUCUGCACUGUCAGAGCACAUCACACUCGCAUUGUCUCCUUCUCCGUCUCAGCCUCUAAACUCUGUGCGCGCUCAAGUUUGCCUGCACGCUCGCUCAACAGGGCACGAAGUUAUAUUUGUGUCAGAAAACCAACCAACCGUAGGUCAAUCCUGAUUGGCUGUGUGGUGUCCAAUCGCAACGUUUCCACAAGAAGACGAAGGGAUGGGUUUGGGGGGCGGUGGUGGAACGAUAAACGGCAACAAUAUUGUAAACUGAACAUUAUAUUGUCGCUGUUUUUGUGACUGGAUACCUGGACUACAGUCCGCCAAACCCAUCCCACGCUCGCUCGAGAAAGAUACGCCAACGUUAACGCCAUCAACCGUGUGCUAGCAAUGGCCUUAGCUGGUUCUUAUUCACAAUUUGUUACUUGCGCAAUAUUUCUUUUCAAUUUGUACAGAGUUAGUUAAAAUAUUCUAUUAAAGUUGUGCGACAUGGAAA